rnacentral:rRNA from 1 species
GAGUGGCAUCCACCUUGGGUGCCUGUCCAACCGUCUAAAAAACGGUUGUUAGCAAGGGCCGGGUAAGACCGGUGCCAGCCGCCGCGGUAAUACCGGCGGCUCGAGUGGUGGCCGAUAUUAUUGAGUCUAAAGGGUCCGUAGCCGGCUUUGCAAGUCCCCUGGGAAAUCCAGCGGCUUAACCGUUGGGCUUCCAUGGGAUACUACAUUGCUUGGGACUGGGAGAGGUAGGAGGUACUCGGGGGGUAGGGGUGAAAUCCUGUAAUCCUCCGGGGACCACCGGUGGCGAAGGCGUCCUACCAGAACAGGUCCGACGGUGAGGGACGAAAGCUAGGGGCACGAACCGGAUUAGAUACCCGGGUAGUCCUAGCCGUAAACGAUGCCCGCUAGGUGUCACGACGGUCGUGAAUCGU